rnacentral:rRNA from 1 species
GUGAACGCUGGCGGUAGGCCUAACCCAUGCCAGUCGCACGGCAGCACAGUAAGAGCUUGCUCUUACGGGUGGCGAGUGGCGGACGGGUGAGGAAUACAUCGGAAUCUACUUUUUCGUGGGGGAUAACGUAGGGAAACUUACGCUAAUACCGCAUACGACCUACGGGUGAAAGCAGGGGAUCUUCGGACCUUGCGCGAUUGAAUGAGCCGAUGUCGGAUUAGCUAGUUGGCGGGGUAAAGGCCCACCAAGGCGACGAUCCGUAGCUGGUCUGAGCGGAUGAUCAGCCACACUGGAACUGAGACACGGUCCAGACUCCUACGGUAGGCCGCAGUGGGGAAUAUUGGACAAUGGGCGCAAGCCUAAUCCAGCCAUACCGCGUGGGUGAAGAAGGCCUUCGGGUUGUAAAGCCCUUUUGUUGGGAAAGAAAAGCAGCAGGUUAAUACCCCGCUGUUCUGACGGUACCCAAAGAAUAAGCACCGGCUAACUUCGUG